UCCUGUGUCACCCAGAGCAGAGACCAGCAGACAGUUUACGCUAAAGCCUCAGGCACUUUCCUCCAGAUGCAGCUGGAAGAGGAUUCAUCUCAACACUAGACACAGUGCCUUCAGGAGAGCCUACCAAUGACCACCUUCCCUACCGGGGACCCCCUGCAGAGCAGGGGGGGUGCCCAAGAAGUAAACGGUGACGUGAGGGAGGGGGUGCUUCCCUUGCAUAAAUAAAGUCUCACAGGCCUGUUCUCAGUCCAAGAC